GGGGGCGCUGGGGCUCGACGGAUAGGUAAGGUAUACUGGAGCAGGCGGAGGAUAGCGGUUGGCCUCCUAAAAAAUCCGCUAAAAAAUAAACGCCGAUUACAGUUAUGCAUUAGCAGCAUAAGAUAAUGCUGCCGUCUUGCAAGAUCUUUGCUCAUGGGAUUUGCAAGACGUCGGGACAUGAGCCCCUUGUGUUAGGUUGUCCGAGCCUAAUUCAAGGGUAAUAACUCGGACUAUGCGCUCUGAGUCCUGCCAUUUGGAAGCAGAGCGUGAAAAACAAAAAAAUGGCUAAGCCUGUAGCUGCCAGUAUAGAUUACCUACUCGGACGCGGGUUCGACUCCCGCCGCCUCCACCA
rfam:Caldisericum exile AZM16c01 DNA, complete genome.